GACGAACGCUGGCGGCGUGCUUAACACAUGCAAGUCGAACGAUGAACUUCCUUCGGGAAGGGAUUAGUGGCGAACGGGUGAGUAACACGUGAGAAAUCUGCCCUUCACUCUGGAAUAACUCCGGGAAACCGGAGCUAAUACCGGAUACUCAAAUCUGGCGGCAUCGCUGGGUUUGGAAAGUUUUUCGGUGAGGGAUGAUCUCGCGGCCUAUCAGCUUGUUGGUGAGGUAACGGCUCACCAAGGCUACGAC
rnacentral:rRNA from 1 species